rnacentral:lncRNA from 1 species
ACUAGAUUUGAUGUUUGUCUUGCUAUUUGCCAGCUUCGAAACAACAUCUCUCGCUUUAACUUUAGCUAUCAAGUUUCUUACGGAUGAUUCUGCAGUCCUAAAGCGUUUAACGGUUAGUCAGAGGUUAAACACAAUAGAUACCUUACCAAGAAGUGACAACUUUCUGGUUUAUAAUACAAAAAAACUAAACUGUGUUCAUCUUCAUCAGGAAGAACAUGAGACAAUUCUGAGAAACCGAGAAGAUGCAGACUCUGGACUUACAUGGGAAGAAUACAAGUCAAUGACUUACACAUUUCAGGUUGCUUAAGAUUUUUGAUCAAAGUAUGAUAAUUUCCUAAGUUUUCAAUACAAAAUUCAGCUGACUAAGUCUUAAGUAAACCUUGUAUGCAGUUCAUAAACGAAACAGCGAGACUAGCAAAUAUAGUUCCUGCAAUCUUCAGAAAGGCGUUGAGAGAUAUAAAAUUUAAAGGUAUGAUAUAAAAUAAACAAUAACAUUCUCAAUGAUUUAAGUGCCUAUUUUUAUAUUAUCAUUAAGACUUUUGUCAAUGGUUACAGAUUAUACCAUUCCAGCCGGCUGGGCGGUGAUGGUCUGUCCACCAGCUGUACAUUUGAAUCCAGAAAAGUAUAAAGAUCCUUUAGUCUUCAAUCCAUCAAGAUGGGAGGUGAGGUCAAACCUUCUGAGUAACUUCUACUCCAAGUAAAACUGAAAACAUUAAACAAAAAUGUAACAAAACUAAUCAACACAAGAAAUUGAUGUAAUGCAGGGAUCAAAAGUUACUAAUGCAUCAAAGCACUUCAUGGCCUUUGGUGGCGGUAUGAGGUUCUGUGUUGGAACAGACUUCACUAAAUUGCAGAUGGCUGCGUUUCUUCACACCUUGGUAACAAAAUACAGGUUUGUAAAGGCUAAUCAUCUUACGGUACUCUUCUUUAUAUAGUGUUAGAUUCAAUAAGACUGAUUUUGAUUCUGGCACUUGGAAUUUAUCAGGUGGGAGGAGAUAAAAGGAGGUGACAUACUUCGAACCCCCGGAUUACAGUUUCCUAAUGGUUACCAUAUCAGACUCCAUAAAAAAGAGACUAGAGAAUGUUUAGGAUAAAAUAUAUGUUAUACAUUUUCUAAGACUACAAUCAUCUUUGAAAAAAAAAAUCAAAGUUUAAGAUGUGUCUUAGGUUUUUAAGGCUGAGAAUCAGCUACAAAAGGUGAAUACAACAAUUUUGUUUUGCAGCUUCUGUGUCUGGUCAGAAACUGUAAUAAUGUAUAGUUAUUUGAUCACAAAGGGGGCAUGUAAAAGAAAUCAAGUGAAUGGUACUACUUAACUCCUGAGAUGCAUCAGGAGAUUAAUUUCUCGUCAAGUUCUGAUCAAUUCCUACAUGUGAAUUUCCUAAAACAGUGUUUCGAUGCACAAAUCAGUAGUUUGUAUAGCUCUCCAAUCUAUAAAGCUUACACAAAUGAAAACUCUGAGAUGAUGAUGAAAAGUAGUAAUUUUGGGUUAGUUUCAGUAAACAUACCCUGCAAGCAAACUUUUCUUCGAUUGAUCGCCGCCAGAGCAGAGGAAGCCACUAACCACAGUUCCCCUCUCGGUGUUCUGCUGACGUGUCGGCUACUUCUUCC